AGAGUUUGAUCCUGGCUCAGGACGAACGCUGGCGGCAUGCCUAAUACAUGCAAGUCGAGCGAACUGACGGAGGAACUUGUUCCUCUUGACGUGAGCGGCGGACGGGUGAGUAACACGUGGGAAACCUACCUUUCAGCGGGGGAUAACGUUCGGAAACGGACGCUAAUACCGCAUAACGUUAACAAUCGCAUGAUUGUUAAAUAAAAGACGGCUCUGCUGUCACUGAAAGAUGGACCCGCGGUGCAUUAGUUAGUUGGUAAGGUAACGGCUUACCAAGACGAUGAUGCAUAGCCGACCUGAGAGGGUGAUCGGCCACACUGGGACUGAGACACGGCCCAGACUCCUACGGGAGGCAGCAGUAGGGAAUCUUCCGCAAUGGACGCAAGUCUGACGGAGCAAUGCCGCGUGUAUGAAGAAGGUCUCCGGAUCGUAAAGUACUGUUAUCAGCCAAGAACAAUUCACAGAGUAACUGUUGUGGAUCUGACGGUAACUGAUCAGAAAGCCACGGCUAACUACGUGCCAGCAGCCGCGGUAAUACGUAGGUGGCAAGCGUUGUCCGGAUUUAUUGNGCGUAAAAGGGAGCGCAGGCGGUGACUUAAGUCUGAUGUGAAAGCCCACGGCUCAACCCGUGGAAGGUCAUUGAAAAACGGGGUCACUUGAAUGGAGCAAAGGAGAACGGAAUUCCCUGUGUAGCAAUGAAAUGCCUAAAAAUAUGGGAGGAACACCCGGUGGCAAAGGGCGGUUCUCGGG
rnacentral:rRNA from 1 species